UAUUAGUACCUUAGUAUCACACGUACAUAGGUGUAUUACCUACACUUCCAUUGUCAUCUCCGUACAUAGAACGUGAGAAACCUGUUUGCGUCAAUCAGUAUCAUCAAUCUAUUCGCUUCGAGUUAAUCGUUUUUGUAGUUUCGUACGACGAUGCUAAGUUCCAUCUACGCACAUCAGUGUAGCUAGUUCGAUAGUGGAAAAUAUAUUGUUAAUGGCUACAAUUUACUGAUACUUUAUAGUGAGAGUAAUUUGUUUACAAUCAAUACGAGAUAACAAUCGAAUUAAUCGAUUCUAUAUAAUGAAAUACAAUACUAUUGUCGCGGAGCCAUAAAAUGCCGCUCAACAGUCAGAGAUGACAUAAAAUGUUUAUAAUAAUUUUGAUGUAGUAUAGAACAAAUUAGUGGCACAGAUAAUCAAGGUGAAGAAGUUAUUUAAACAGUGAUGUUUUGUGAUAAACUGCAUUCGUGUUUGUGUGUAUGUCGCGCCAACAUGAAGUUCUGGACCGUUAUAUUAUUGUUUGUGUUCGUCAUUUGUUUGCAACAGACGAUCGCGGAGUGCCCCCCGGGACAAUACGACCCUGGUCCCGACUGUUCCUUCGAAGUCAUCUGUGGUCUACCCAGCGCUCAUUCAGCAAGAAGACAUUACUGUGAUUGCUGGUGCAACCCUGGCACCAUACGAGACUCCAUAACCCACGAAUGUGUUAAAGAGUGCCCUUGAUUUUGUUCAAUUAGUGUAAUUUUAACUAUAGAUAUGUUAUUGUUUAAGUUAUUUAAAGCUAUGAAGUAAGUGACGUCGUUUUAUUUUGGAUGGUCAUUGGAGUUAGUCUUUUUUUUUUGGUUUUACGUGUAAAGAGACCUUGAGUGUUGAAUUUGUUUCGGUGUUUUGUCUCACGGAUAUGAAGCACAGGCUUUAUUUAGUUCUAGAAAUAAUUAUUUCUACAUAUAGUUUUAAUAUUAUAAAGAGGUACAGUUGUACAUUUGUUAAGCCACAUGAAGUACCUAAUCUUAGGAUUUAUUGAGUUUCGAAAAUAUUUUUCAAAUAAUAGAUAAUAAUUUAUGCAACAGAAGUUUGGCGAUAUAGAUCUUGGAAUCCAGGAUUCAAUAUGUUACGUAUACCUAAUACCUAACCAAUUAAUCUACAUUUAUAUGCAAAUGGAGAAAGGUUAAAUUAUAUAAUGCACCUAAACUAGCGACUCCAAGAACUGGCUGCAGCGUCAUUCAGUUAACUAUGACCUUUGUUGUAAAGAUGACAAUAAGUAAACAAACUUUGUAAAGAGAUUGUUAAUAAAUAAAAUGCAGAGAACAAUUGUACCAA